rnacentral:rRNA from 1 species
AUUAAAAAACCCAAUGCCCUUUCGGGGSUUUUUGGUGAUUCAUGWUAACUUUAACGGGAUUGCAUAGCCUUGCGCUUGGCGACGGUUCAUUCAAAUUUCUGCCCUAUCAACUUUCGAUGGUAAGGUAUUGGCUUACCAUGGUUUCAACGGGUAACGGGGAAUUAGGGUUCGAUUCCGGAGAGGGAGCCUGAGAAACGGCUACCACAUCCAAGGAAGGCAGCAGGCGCGCAAAUUACCCAAUCCCGACACGGGGAGGUAGUGACAAUAAAUACUGAUACAGGGCUCUUUUGGGUCUUGUAAUUGGAAUGAGUACAAUUUAAACCUCUUAACGAGGAACAAUUGGAGGGCAAGUCUGGGUGCCAGCAGCCGCGGUAAUUCCAGCUCCAAUAGCGUAUAUUAAAGUUGUUGCAGUUAAAAAGCUCGUAGUUGAAACUUGGGCCUGGCUGGCGGGUCCGCCUCACCGCCGUGCACUCSUCCGGCCGGGCCUUCCUUCCUGAAGAACCUCAUGCCCUUCAACUGGGCCKUSCU